CCGCCGCCUCCGAGCAGCACCGUCGGGGCGCGCGGCGAUCCCUGCAGCCGGCCCCGCCCGCGUUACGGGCCGACGUCCUGACCGCGCCGUCUCGUUCCGCAGGAGCGGAGGGGCUCGAGCGAGAGGCGCGGUCCCGGCCGUAAGCAAGAAACUUUCCUCGCUCACAGAGCCCUCUUGGAGCAGCACGGCGCCCCGCUGCCAGGGAGCUCCUGGCGCCGGUCCGGCCCCGCCGCCCUUCUGGUUGCGGAGAGGCGCUCCCGGCCCGACGGACCCCGCGCCGCGUCCGUGCCGGAGGUGCCGCCAAAUCCGGACCGGAGCAGAAGGGAUUCACUGUGAACUAUGAGCGCUGCGACAAAACUUUUCUAAGUGACAGAAGCGUGCAUAAGUAAACUUGUAUGCAGAAAUUAAAAUCAACUGGAGUUGGUAGCAUCCUCUCUGGAAGUUAAAUAUCGUUCAAAGCUGGGGCGGCACGGGGGUCGGGUUGCGCGUAGCCGAUGGCCUCGGACCGUGCGGGAGUCGGGUACCGCUGCGGGACGGGCAGCAGCACCGAGGCGGCCGGGGGCAGCGCGACUGCGGCAAGGAGACGGGGGAAGGAAGACGGGCGGAGCGGCAUCGGAGAUAGCAGAAAGAAAAACUCCGCUGAGAAGUGUGAAAAGAAAAGGAGGGGGAGGAGCCGCCCACAUGCUGCCAGGAGCCGUCCCGCUGGCAGCUUCUCCUCUCUGCUGUAUCGCUGCCGAACUGGGCGCCAAGACAGGACAUAUGCAAAAUCAUUUCACUGUGGCACAAACACAAGAAACAUGAUUUGGAAGAAAGGACAGGGGCCAGAGUGUCUGUCUCUUAUUCUCCACUCGCAUUGCUGCAAACUGGCACUUCUGUAAGCGAGCGUGCUUGGAAUCUCCAGGUCUAUUAAAGGUAAAAUCUCAAGCUGCCAGCAAGUUCUUCAGAGGAAUCUCCUGGCCUUGGCAUUAUCUGUGGGCUUUGUCCAGGGACACAGCAUUUAUUUCUUAAAACUGGAGCAACCAGCAUAGUGCAGCAGCCAAGCCAGGUCACGCUGCCCAGAUUCUUCCCGGCUGUUCUGCUGACCAGUUCUGUGCCAAGCUCAUCUGCUACCCACACAAGCCUUUCCAAAAACAAGUUCCCUUCUGGCUCUUCUCCAAAGAACCACUGACUCCUGGGCUUCCCCUGACCACUGGUAUACAAACAAGGUAGCAAGAGCAAGAUUCACCCUACCUAUCUUAAAGUGAGCAAUAACAACUGCUAGUUAUAUAUUAUUGUUAUUGUUAUAUAACAAUAACUAGUAUGCAAGUUUAGCAGUAGCCUGUGUUACCUGCCGUGGUUUUUGCUUUUUAUUAUUAUUCACGUCCCUUACUGUUUUCCCUUCCCUUAUUGUUUUUGGUUAAUUUGUAAAAUUCAAGGUGAUGUUAUUUUAUUUUUUACCUUCUCUGGUUCUGUGGAAGAAGUCUGUGCCAUUCUGGUUGUGUGAGCACUGACAAGUACAUCCCUGAGAGACAACUACUUAAUUAGUCACAGGGAGGCUUAAGUCUCAAUCCUAAAUAAGGAGAUAACAUCAUGGUGGCAAAACCUGUCACCUUUGCCCAAGCAGCCUGGAGGGAGAAAGACCGUUACUGCACAGUCCAAUCUACUUACAUGAUAGAAAAGGAUACUGGGAUGGAAAAUGUAAUAAUUUAAAAACAUUCAAAGAGAAAUAGUCUACAUUUGCACGGGCUACACUCUCUUCCCAGUGCAACAAAUGAACCAGAGUAUCAGCAACUAAGUGAUGGGCAGUUAUUUAAUGAGUUAAUCUCAUUAGGAUAUUUGAACUCUCAGAAGAGGCUCAAACCAUUAGCUACACGAGAGCUUUGAAAUAAGCCUUUCAAAAGGACUGUAAGAAUAUAUUAAAAAGUGGUUAAUACACUGUGAACUUUACCAGGAUUCCCCUUGGAUCAGGCUGUCUGGCAGGAGGUUUUUACUGGGGAGCUUCUCCACAAGUCCUGCAGACACAGUCACUAAUAGGCUCAAGUUUACCCUAGAGCCCAUCAAGUAACAUCACCAACAAUUUGGAUUCCAGCAGUUUCUAAGGUUGGCCUCAAUAUGUUACACAAUUGCACCUUGCUUCCCAAUUUUUAAAUCCUUUAGCUUUAAAUCUGGAUAGUUAAAACUGGACUAGUCAUCACAUUACAUAUCUGACUAAAAGACCUGUGAUAAUACUUUUAAAUACAAGUUAUUUAGCCUCACAUUCUCUACAGUGGCUGUAUUAUUCCCUCUAACCUUUUCCUUUCUUUACCUUGAAUUUGGGCACAAUCUAUGUUUAUGUUAGUGUAUAAUUAACUAAGUUAAAAACAGCAGAGUCCCAUUUCAAACAACAUUACAUUGUCACACCAUGUCAAACAAUUGCACCUCUUGAAUUUAGAUUGUAUAACUAUUUUCUGCUCUCUGUUUACUUUUAUUAGCUCCGGUGGAAUUAUUCAUAUCAAUAAAGUGAACAGCAUUUGACCCUCUAAAAGUAAAUGAAAGACAUUAAUAGAAGAACCCAGAGAAUAUCUUCCAGCAAUAAUUAAAACUCAGGGCAGAAUAAUUUUUUCAGUCAUCAUAAAUCAUAAUGAAAAGUGGAUACCUAAUGUCUGAUUGUUCAGAUCUGCUCCAUGAAAGCAGUCAGGAAAUGUCCAGCUCUUUUAAUUGCUAAUAAUUACUUCGUAGUUUAAGAAGCAGUGAUAUAAAAGAUCCUUAUUGUUUAGAGUAUUACAAAAUUUAACUGUAACUAAUGCAUUUUCAAGAGUUUGGGGAACAUUAUUAAAGUUCAUUUCCAUGCUGCAGCUGCAGGAGUUAGAAUUAUGAAAGUGAAGAAGCUGUAAAAUUGAAAAGGUCAGCAAUGACAUUCAUCUAUUCCAGCUGUCAAAUCAAGGGAAUGUUAACAAAACUAGUCUCUGGUAGAAAAGCUAAUUGUCUACAUGUAUUUUGGCUGCUCCUAUACAUGUACUCUACUGUGGCUAAUCUAUAGAAAGACCAUGCUGGAACAGCUCAUCUUUUUUUGAUCAGGCCUUCUGCAAACAAAGGAGCCUCAUUGCCCCAAAUAAGCAAGUUCUAAUGAUUGUAUAACUCCAACCAGCCUAAAAAGCAGCCGUAUGUUCCAAGUCAGUGUUUAAAGAAAAAAGCAUGUGAAUGAAGUUUAUAGACUCCUGGCAGCAGAGUUCAACUUCCAGAGUGGUGGGAGUACAGGGCAAAUUUAGUAUUUUACUCUAAUGUUGUGUUCUUAAAAAUAGUAUUUCUAAAACGUCUCCUGCCAAGGCAUGUUUUAUUAUAACAAAAUAUAGAAAAGUCUCUAUUGCAGACCAAAUCUUUUGUAGAUGACCUGGAUUUAGUAAUCCCUCAGUGUGAAGGACCUUCUCUUCAACAUUCUAUUCCCCGCAGGGUGAGACUGCAAACCUAACACAGCUAAACACAGACCAUCAGUGAAGACUGAGUCUAGGAACUUUGCUAUUGAAUGACAGACCCCUGCCUUGUGCAGGAGGACCCUCAGCAAGGAACAGUGAGAGACUUAUGUUUUUUAUUAUGCACCAAAUUCCACCUUCUUCAGACCAUGACACUCCUCAGCAAUUGAGAGCAAAGAAAAGUGACUCCAGACCUGUAGCACGCCACACAUUCAAGGGAAUCAAGUGCUUAAUCUUCUCUAGACAAAUUCAUUGCAAGCCCCUCGGGCUAUUUGCUAUUGUUUGUUUUUGUAUUUUCACCUUAUGUGUUUGUAGAUGUUCUCAGAGGUCUACACACACAACUCUACCAACCACAAGUAGCUGACUGUCAGUGUGAAAGCCGUAUUCCUAUAUUGCACCAUAUACAUCAACUCACGCCUCAAUUUAUCUGGUGUUAUGCAAUACAGAUGUGACAGAAACAAUCCAAUUUGACCUAUGACAACAUAUUAUUAGGUCAGUAUGUAGCUUUCUGGAUAACUUUUUAAAAAUCUGUUAUCUGACCUUUGUGGUUUUUUUUUUUUUCCUAUAGAGAAGUAUUGCAAAAGCCAGAAACAAUACCGACAAUUCAUGAAAUAUUCAAGUGUACAGUUGCAAUCUUUUAAUAAAUGGAAGUGACCUUCAAAAGAGACAUCCCAAAGAUUAAGAGAAUUUCUCCAUAGAUGGCAUUUGUCACUAAUCAAUGACCGAAAGAACUUACACUCUUCAUAGAAGUGAAUACAAAAAAGAUCUUUCAGAAUUCUAUCACUUUAAAGUAAAUUUUUCACAAAGCCCACAGAAAAGAGCAUUAACAAGCUAACAAAACAACAGAACAAAACAUCAAACAGGCAAAUUGAAAGGAUACAUCCCCCUGCACCUAUUGGUAACUAUGUCCACAUUUAGAGAGCUAGAGUCAUUUGCACAUCCACACACUAUUCUCUGAGGCUAGAUGAUACUAUCAGAAUUAACUGCAUUUCUUCAACUGCAUUGAUAUGUCAAAAUACAUGCAACAUUCUACUAGCCAGUUUUCUUUUUCAUAUUCACAAAGAUAUUGGGCUCUAACUGGGUCACGGUAUUGGAACAGAUGUAAUCUCAGCAGAAUACUGUGAGAAAUCUGGGCUACAUUAAUGACUGAUCCAAUUACAGUGGAAAUCUCUAGAAAACCCAGAUUUACUAAGAACCAGGAGAUAAUUAUGAUGUACUUCUAGGGACGACCAGAUGGACCAGACAGUCUCAAACUCUAUAAGGAGACCAGAGCUGAAUGAGAGGCACCCGUGCUGUUGCCUACAUAGUUGGAGAUAUUCCCAUUCUGAGAAUAUGAUCAAAACAGACAGAUUCUUUCAGCAAACACCUGUGAGGACUGGAUCAAAACACAUCCUAUACUGGGAAGCAGCAUGGCUUAUGUCCUGCUGUGAUGAUGGGGUGACAGAGGAAUAGGUAUCCAGGAGAGAAUGAAAGAGCAGGAAUCAAGAAACCUCAGGCAGCAAGUUAUGUUCUCUCUCCUGAAUAGGCUAUAGAUGCCACCUUCCAAGGAGCAAUCUGAUACCACACCUAAGAAAACCCAACAAUCUACUGUGGAUUUACACCCAGAAGGAAAGAAAAAUACUUGAGAAAUCUGAGUAUAAACACCUCCUUUCACCAAUCCAAAGGCAGGCAAAAUUUCAUAGUAACCUUAUCUGUGAUCUUGAUAACAUCUUUCAGAGAGGUGUGCCUCUCUUACCUCUGAGUAGUCCCAUUAAGGUAAUUUGGAUCUAAGAGGAUGUAUGAUGUUAAACAUUUAGUUAAUUAUAAAUGUUGCUGAAUCAAGAUUUUUUUUCAGAUAAAUAUUUUACCAGAGAAGAUAUAUUAAACAGUGGAAAGUAAUAUUUCUUAUUUAUAGAACCUGCUGCCAGCUCCAAGCUAGUAAAUAUUUACAUUUCAGGCACUUUGAUGGCUAAUGUGACCUUUCUGUUGCACACUUUACACCUGUGCUGUAUUUUACUUUCAGUGUUAACAUCCUUUCUAGUCCAUCUUCCAUUAACAAGCAGUAUUUAAAUAUAUGCAAAUUUCAUAUUUUAGCUGAUGUUUUAGGAACAUUUUUAAGGUCACUCUGUUUGAUCUAUCAUACAGACACAGCAAAUUUAUGCACCAUAUAUCCUAUCUCUACUUGUUUUUACCUACAUCUGUCUUCUCUGAUUGCAUUUGAAUGGGCUUAUUUUCUACUUUAAAUAAAAGAUUUAUGCCUUAGCUGUCAGUUUGCCUUUAUUUGAAAAUUUAAUUUUGUUUCUAGGAGUCUAGAUUAACUUAUUAGAUUUAACUGUCCCUUGUGCUUUGCAGCGAUAGCAGAAGUAUAUUUUCCCUUGCGGAGAGAAUACAUAAACAAAAUGCUCUUAGCUUAAGAAUAAAGAAUGUUAUUACUUAGACCAAUACAACACAGUUGGUCCAGGAAACAAAAACUGAUGUUGUGAUAUUUUUUUAAUUUAUGAUGGCCAGCAGUGAGAACUGACUCAUAAAUAUGAGCUCUCACAAAUCCUGGAGCCACCAAAACUUGGAAAAUGCUUUGCGGAAAAGGUACAUUCCCCCAAAAUGUCCCCAACGCUUGGGAUAUAGAAUACCCUUUCAUGAAGCAGUACCACUGGGAAACACAACUUCAUUCUUGAUACUCAUGGAUUUAUUUAAGUGAGCAACAAAUGAGAAUCUGCCCCACUGCUUCCAGUUAGUCAGAAGCCCAUUUGUUGAUUCAGUGUGCUAUUCCACAUCUUCAGUGAGACGUGUUCUUUACUGUCUCUCAGUAGAGCUACAUUCAUAAUACUGUUCAUCAAGCCCUGGAAUUUCAGGGCUUGCCUGAAAGGAGAACAGGCUCACUGCAGUUGCUGCAUGUGGUCCUUGCAAAGCCCAAAACGGCUGUGUUCUCUGGUGGGUGGGCUGGGGUGUCUGUGGGAGGUUAAUCUUUUCAACUACGUUCAUCCAUUUUGACCUUCUUCUCUAUUUUUCAUUUCUAGAAGUACCUGGGAUUCUCAGCAACUCUGUGAUUUUUCUCUUUAUUUUGCAACAUCCACAUAGACCUGAACAGAAUCUGUUUUUAAUCAAUCCCUACACUUUUUAUAAACUCUAAAAACCUACAGCUCUUGAUUCUGUACUCUCAAUUAUAUGCACUGCUUUUGAAAGGAAUUGAAGUGUUCCCUCAUCAAUAAUGUUCCUAGAAGCGCCAGGAGAUUGCAGUAUAAGAAUAUCAGGGCAGAGAAAGUAGAAAAUUGAAGGAUCAGUAUUUACUUAUCUACUCUAGCAAGCAGUCAGUCACACAGCUGUUAACUGUAUCCUGACUCACUUUGUUAAAUAGUGAACACCAUGAGCACAAGACUUUUGUGGAGAAGCAGGGAUUCAUCAUACAAAGAAAACAAAUAUACAUUUAUGGUGGCUUUCAUCACUCACAAAAUAUCAGCAGAGAUAAAUGGCACAUAGGAACAUGAGGCCCUCUAUUCCGCCAGCCAGAGCAAUACAGCUGUUAUAUAAGAUGAUAAGCAGUGAUGAAGAAUAACAUGACCAGCAGUAAAAUAAUAAUAAUAAUAAUAAUAAUAAUAAUAAUAAAGGCAUUAAGGCAGGCAGAACAGGACAGAACUUAUCUGACUUGAUAGCCUUCAGUCUGUGACACUGUAUUUAUAAAGUGCCAACAGAUUCAAGAAAGGACAGUAAUUAGUAAGUCCUGGCAUCUUCCUAAUAAAAAAAGCAGUGAAAAUACCACAAAGCACAAUCUCUGCAUGUACAGUACUAUUAAUACAAAGUGAAGUCUUCACAGAGUUCUUCAAAAAUCUCUUCAGCUCAGAAAUGCUCUUUCAGGAACGAUCAUAAAUAUGGCCCACCUACCAUAUACCCAGGUAAAGAAUGCAGAUGAAGCUGGUGUGGUUUGAACAUGCUGGUGGAGGCACUGGGCAGGUAACCAUCUGGCAGGGAAGGCUUAUGCUCAUCUGCUCUCUUGGUAGUGAGUUUCCUUGCUGCUGAAGGGCAGAAGUAAAUCUAUUCCAGUCAUUCCCUUCUGUUGUGAUAGCAAAAAACUUAUCAAGGAUGUGUUAUGCUAAAUCCUAUGACAACAAGCAUUUCAAAGCAUCAGACAAGACAGAUAAUAAAAGGGUAAAACCUGCAAGGAAAUAAACCAUGCACUACACAUGUAAAGAUUUCUUUAUCAUGCUUAGGUAGAAUAAUCUAUUAUUGUGACCAUUACUUAGUUACAGAAUGUACCACCAAAUAACAAACUGAUCGUAUGAACCACUGCAACAACACAGCUGAUUUUUUUCCAGCUUCUCCAAAGACAGUAGUCUGGUUUUGAUUUAACAAGUAAUUAAUGAAUACAUAAACCCUGGACAGAACUUUAAUCUAUCCCAGCGCCAAAUAAUUAAUCAUUCAUUCCACGUUUAAUCCUGUUCUGAUAAAUGUAAUUAAUAUUUCAUCAUGGCACUGCAGAGUAGAAGAGUACUUGGGAGCAGAGAAAGGCACCCUUCUAUCUCUCCCCUCAUUGCAGCUCUGGAGUGAAAGGCACUGUCUACAGCUGACAGAUAGGUAAUCCAGAAUACAGCGACCCCUUGCAGUUGUACAUUAGGUUUUAUGCAUGGCAUACACUCUGAUUGUAAGGAGGCUUUUCUUCCUCUGACCUAUUAUUAAAAUAGCAAAACAAAAUAAAAACCAACAAUGAGAAAUACGUCACCAGAGCAUGGUAAACCAUUUGUCUGAUCUGACAGCAUUUGGGAAACCAGUGCUUGCAGCGAUGUCUUGGUUUAUACAAUGCCACUGAGCAUAUGUUAGGGCUGUGGAGAGAGAACAAAGCAUGUGUAGGUUGUCUGCUUCUGUCCACAGGAAGCAGCGCUAUGUGCACAAAGAAGUGGAUGAAGAUUUAAGUGAUAAUUUUACUGCAGGGAAACUCCAGCAUCUUUUGAAAACUUUCGGUGUAAUCAAGAACUGCGUUGAUAGGUAGAAAAUUAAAUUGCAGGAAAACCUAUGCUGAUUUUACAGGGUGUUUCAUCUCAGGAACCCACAAAUAUCAGCAAAGAGUUUUGUGAAGAAGAUUCUACAACAAACAAAUUGCAUUGGGAUCCUGCUGCCCAAUUACUCAGAAACAGAGGCAUCUCUUCACAGUUAUCUCCUUGCUCAGCACUCUCCUGUAUAGCCACAAAUUGUUUUUGCUGAACAAAUUUUAACUAUACGUACAAUUACAAUUCCCUCUCAUUCAAAUACAGGGGAAGAAAAACCUACUGUAAUUAGUUAUCCCAGUUGCCCUGAUGAAUAUUUACAGUCCUUGCAAGAAACCCAGCUUGUGGUGUACGAGUCUCCCAGCAUCACACACUGACACCGAAAGGAGGCUGUAAUUUAUCCCCUUCCGAAGAUCCCAUAUUAUGCUGCUAUCUCAGCUGUCGUUAAUCUAACCCUCUGUUAUGUCCCAAAUCAGUAAGGAGACAACUUUCAAAUGGUAGGGGAGUGUCUCUGACAUAGUAAGACUAAACAGAGCUACAUGAAAUCAAGUGAUUUUAGUCCAGGGGCCUGCUGGAGCUAUUUUAUAAACAAACUCAUUUUCGCACUUUGUAACUGCUCGUUGUGGUGACUGCUAUCUGUAACUUCUAGACAGCUAUUCUAGAUAAUUAUGCUGGAAAGCAUUUACACAUUUACAGAGAAUUUUGGUUAUGGAUAAUGGUUUUAUCAGCUCAGAUUCAUUUCAAAAUAUGUUGCUUUCCAAAUACUCUAAAAAUGCACCUAACCUCUUGCUACUCAAACAGAAUCUAAAAUUGUUAUGCACCUGAGUCAUUCCCCUUCUCAGAGCACUUCUCAACACUAAAAUAAAUGUAGGUAGCUUUAAGUACCUAGGAAGUACUAGUAUUAUGUUCAUAAGAACCUAAAAUGGUUAGGAGCAUUGGAUCAUUGAGGCAAGGAUCCUGAUUUUAACAUUGACCAGCACCAGAAGCUUCAAAGGAAUAAAUUCCUGCCUGGAAUAUAAUGUAAACAAUGUAAGUUUUUACUUCUUGUGUAUCUGGAUUAAUUCAACAGUUCUUUUGCACCAGUGCCAACUUCACAAAUGAUUGUAUAUGCCACAUUUUUAACUUCUGCUUGCAGCAAUGGAUGAUAUAUACCCUUGUUCCAAAAGUCACACAGCCCUGAUGGCCAGCUGCUGCACUGUCACCUCAUUUCUGAAUCCCACAAGGAAACCUUUUCCAUAUUCAUAAACAGAGCAUUCAUUUCUAAGACCCUGGAAACCUUCACUGAAGCUCCACAUUAUAAUCCAAUUGAUUCUUUAUCUCCUAAGAUCAACAAAUCCUUAACUCAUUGUAGAAAGUGUUGUGCGAUGUUUCAUAUGCAUGCACACACACAUUAUUACAUCGUUCCUAAUAUAUAUGGAUUUUAUUUCCCUUAAGUCAUCCAUUCUACUUGUUCAAAAUGGGAAAGAUUAUUCGUAGACGUGAAUCUAUCGUUCUGUGUUGGAUUUGAUGAGGCUGUAUUACGAAAAACAUCCAUCUGCUUUGUAAGAAAACUGAUGCUGAAUUGAAAGAGUAGCCAUUGACUAAGGUUAUAUCCAUUCAUGCUAAUACGACCUUCAAUUAGUGAAGCAAACACAUUUUGAGAUCCAGUCAUUUUAUCAGACACCCACUAUAGAUAAAGAAAUGCUGGUAUCCUUGAAAAAUUCUACUCGGAGGUGACCUUCCACUUUUCCAGGCUCAUUAGGCAAAACAAAAUAAUUGUGCCGCUUCUUUCUGGUCUCUCUUCAGAAGGUUUUCAGGACAUCUCAAAUUACAAAUAAUGAUUUAACCCACAAAUUCAUGCUAAUACAUAGCAGCUUAGACAGUUAACACACUCAUUUCAUGCAGUUCUCCAGAGACGCUGGUUUACAGUGUUUUCUUUUACUUAGCAGCAGCUAUUGGCAUUUAAAUAGAAACCACUACAAAUCCACUUAGUUCAAAAUUUUUGAAAGAGUAAAUACCAUUGUGGCAUCCUUAAGUCAGCAAAGAAGAAUGCAGUAGUGCCUCUUAUUUUCAUCCACAUUUUCAAGGACUGGUAGUUUUCUCACUGAGGUGUCCAAACAGCAGCAAAGCUCUUCUGAGAGGCAGACUAACAUCAGUGCUUAAGUAGCUGAAUUAUGAGAAUUUUUAUUCAUAUUCAAAAAUAUAGCACCUUUGACAUGCAAAGAAGUAGAGAUACAUAUCAUGCUCCCAUUUGCAAGGUCUAAUAUAUUUAAAGAAGUUUGUGGCUGCUAAAGAAGUAUUUAUCCAAGCCAGAAUGAAAAAUAACAAGAUGAUGAUUUUGAAUUUUCUCUGAUUUUUCUAUGAGCCUUUUCAGCCACAUGCUGUAUGCUACAAGGGAGUUAGAUACAAUGCUUAUUUAUAAACAGUGGUAUCCCUGUUAGGUCACCUAAAGAGAACUGAAUUAGAGAGAGAUGCUUAAGUACCUAAGCACAAAAAAACAAUAUCGAUAAGAAAUAAUAAGGAAGAAAUCAUUCAUCAGAAGGCUGAAUACUGGGAAGUAACCAUCAGGGCUAAGAACAGUACAGACUUCAUGAGACCAAGGAGGAUGUUAAGCCACAGAAAGACUCAGCUCUUAAAGACAAGAGACUGGCUGAACAAAGGAGGGCUUUCCCAGGAAAGGUCAAAGAGCUGGGAGGGCUGGUGGGGGAUGCCAAUGUGUGCAGCUGGUACGUGUUGGCACAGCUUGAUGAAGUCAGCUGAGGUAUAACAGCUGACAUUAAUUAAAGGUUUGGUUGCACAAGCCUAAUAGAUAGAAUGAGAUAACGGACUGAUACAAUUGGAUCAUGAUGGAUUCCCAGUGCAGGAGAAAGAAUCCGAGAUAUGCUAUAUUACAUACAUUAAUACUCUCCCAUUUAGUUUGCUGGCAUACUGUCUUUUUGUUUGCUAACUAAAAAUAAUAAUAAAAAAAACAGUUUGUUAAACAUCCCUUUAGUUUGUGUGUACCCAAAUACGUCCUAGUACCUUGUUUCUUUUGAAAGCUGUCUGCUCAUCUGAAACUAUUUCAGUUAAAUUGCCCUGUAGCACUGUCAUCAUGCAUGCAUUCAUGCUUCUUCAGCACUCUCUCAAGUAGGGGAGCAUGGAGACAUUUGUGGGCCUUCCAGCAUACUGCUACAGCCCUGCUAAGACUCACAGCCAGUGAGAUUCUAAGGACGUAGAGCUUUCUCUCAUGAAUCAUACAAAAAGAGCUCUCUCUAAAUCAAACUUCAAGCUGGUAGAGGGCAGUUAGGCGCUUAAAUCACCAUUUGCUCUGAAGCUUUGAAGAGGUUUUCAUAACUUCGGCAAGCAAAUGUUUGCACUGCUUCCACAAAAUCUCUUUCAGCCAGGGGAUCAGGCUGGACAUUAAAGCCAGGCUCCCAUCCCACGACCGGCUCCUGCUGAAAUUUAGCUCCCUAAAUACUGCUGUGACCACAAGACUGGUGUUUUUCACAUUUCUGAGUGGAAGUUCUUGACAUUUACCAUUUCCCUUUCCCUCAACUACACGAACUGCAGCAGCGGAGAGCAGGACUCUGCGGGAGCGUUCUGUACAUCCUCCCUGUGCCCCGUUGCCAGAGCGCAGCCCGCGUCGCUGCUGCAGCACCAGCCCCACCUGCUGCCCCGCGCCGGCAGCUGCAGCCGGAGCCAAGGCCGGCCGCACAGAGCGAGCCGGCAGCGCGCUCCGCGAAGCUCCUGCUGCUGUUGUGGGUUAGCGGUAUUUACGUGACCUUUUCCCGGACGGCAGUCUAGAAACUCGACUUUCUCUACGUUAGUGGAAAGGAAUAAAAGCAAUGAAGGAAAAAGGCUCCAAAAUGAGUGUGGGUAAGUGCAGUCAUUAAGGUGAACGCUUGAGUGGGAGGCCGUCGAGCAGCCCCAAUGCACCUCUGCUGAGUUUCUCGGAGAGAAGGCAGACAUAGUGGAGCAGGACAGCACAUUCACAGGAGUGCGGCUGCAUUUCCUAGAACGCUGUUUUGAAUUGCACCUUUGGAGCAAAGGAAUAUCUCAUUUUCCCGAGACCAUCUUCUGUUGAGCUGCCAACAAAAAGUUUAUGUGCAACCCAUUAAAAUACGUAUAUACACUGCUGACUUCAUGCCCAUGCACACUUUGCUCACAACUUGCAGGAAUGUGUGUCAGCUCUUCUUAAAAGGGAUUUUCUUUCUCUCACAGCUGUUCUGACAGAAGACCUUCUGAUGUCCCCCAGACCACAGCCUGAGAAGCAGCCUGGCAGCCAGGCUAUAGGGAUCCCUCGUUUAUCAGUUAUUUGAUUCAUUCCAUUCAGGCUGAUACAUCUUCCUGGCUUCGUUGCUGUUUGAUUUAACUUCUGUUUCUAGCAUCUGUAGUGGAUUCUUUUAUGUACAACCACCUAAAACCAUGUCUUGUACACAGGUAGCAAAAGCAGUGAUUUGAUAGCGUGGUGUGCAUUUUGGCAAUGUACUUUAUCAAAGAUGUAUUUUGCCUGCAGCAAAACGAGCUGUCAGCUGUUACAAUGAACUGUCACAUAUUCACAUUUUAAUAUGAAAAAUAAUUAUUCCUCCGUUUCUAUUAAACAGCUACCUAUUCUUCAGGCUGGAAAUCAGAACUGCUUUCACAGAGUAUCCAGCUCGCUACUGAAAAGAUUAAAUGGGUCGAGUGUAACACUGUAAAUAUGAUCAAGGCAAAAAGCCAGUCAAUAAAACUGACGGUUUUAUCCUAAUAAAGCAGGGAGGCCUCUGCCAUUUCUCUGUGGCAGAUAGUUAAUUGUCCAGCUGUACGCAACAACUUCAGGACAUCUGGCCACUUAACCAAAGAGUACAAGGUUUGGAAUGCCAAAGGACCCAUAAGUGAAAUAAUGAGUGGUCUGACUCAUUUAUAGUGAAGUCCCUGCACACGGCUCUGACAUCAGUGGUCAAAGCUAAAUUAACGUGACUGCAAGUACUGCUCUUACUUCAUCCCCAACACCUGCCUUAAGAUACAGCUGGGUGCACCAAGAGCAGCAGUGGUCCCAGCUGGGACACAGACACAACAGUCUCAGCCGAGAUAGGGUGGCUGCCUACUGCUCUGCUCUGCAACAAGGUUGUGGCUUACCUGUAUCCUAAUUUAGGAUGAAGAAUGAGUUUGAAAAGUAUGACAAACAUACAGUGCAGUCAACACUUGGUACUGCCUCUGCGUAAAAUUAUGAUUCUUUGCUUCAGUCACUCUAAAAGCAGCUUCAGCCCAGGCUGAAACAUCAAUGGAGUUAUACAACUAACCCAGCCAUCUCCUCCCCCUGCAAGCCCUUCCGUGAGACCACAGGUAAUACUGCACACACAGAGAUCACCUUGCUUUAUCAUACACAUGAAACUAACUUUUGUUGUUAUAUUCAGGGCUUAAAAAUAGACUUGAUGUAUGGAUUUUCUGUUUUAUAGGCAGAGCAAAGAUUCAAUAUAUUGAUUUGAGCUGUAAGGCUUACUUCAUUCAGGGUGCAAUCAAAGCAUGUGGAUUUCUACAACUUCGGGUGCACAGUUUUGGUCAGACUGCAGGUGCAGAAGUUGUUAGGCAAGCCUGCAGGAGCAUGUUAGUGGGCAACGCUGACAUGUCUGCAUGCUUUCAUUCCUAAAAUGAUCCCAUGUCUUGUGCUUUUAGUGAAUUCAUUUCCUCCAGGAUAGCUCUAGAGAGCAGUUAAGAGACACCUUCCAAUAAGGUAACUUCCCUCACUGCCAUUUUAUCAAGACUUAACAUCACUCCUUUCCAUGUGGUGAGUUUAAUGCAGGUAUCUUUGUUAUCUCACAAGAAAGGCAGUGAUGAACUUGGAAGGCCAGAAGCUUUGGUGAUUCUCCUCCCCUGCCUGUACUCUCAGGAUCAAUUAUAAGGAGGCUAGGCUACUGCAUAUGCAAUUUACUGGAGAAGUGAUAGGAAGUUUUACCAGCUUACCUGUUUCAUUCUACUAGCAAGUUAUCACACAGCAGCCCCCAGGCACCCCCAGACUACAGAGGGCUUCCUAAAUACAGGAAUGAAGCAUUAACCCAUCACACAGAGAAGGAAAAUAAGAUAAGGACACUGCAAGCCAGGGGUAAAAACAGGACAAGACACCAAAUAUCCCUCUUCUCAAGGUGAAUUUCUCCUCUACUGAAAUGGACGACUGUCCAUCACCCACCAUUUUGCUUAUGCUUGUUCAGUUGCAAAGAAAUCUAUCUGAUGAAGUGAAACACCACCUCCAAGAAAUGAGGUAGCCGUUAAGUGAGAAUACUAGAUUCACACAAGCUUCGUGGCAGAUGCCUUAGGACUGAUCUGUUCAACCUGGAAUGGAAAACGAUUUGCUUUUUUUUCCUUCCCACAGGGCAUAAGUCUUCCCUGUCUCUCUGUUGUGCUAGUGAAAGCAAAUUUCACCAGAAACUGAAUCCAUUUACAAAUAUUUUGAUAGAUUGAGACAGCUGCUCAGGAAAAAAGAAAGAUUAAACACAUGCAGUUAAGAUACAGUGUCACACGAACAGCUGUUGCAGAGACCCACAGCCUAUGUGGACUUCAUUUUAUUUAUGUCUUUUAAAGAUCAUGUGGGUUUCCCUGUAAAAUAGAAAUAAAGUGAGCACUAUUUCUGUUGGUAAUAAAUUAAAGAAAAAUCUCAGAUAAUUUAUCCUCCAAAAUGCACAGUCUUGACUGUUUUUACUUGUUUUGGCAGGAAGACAGACAUGCAAAAUGUACAAGCACUGCUCUUGUAUACACUCACGUCUCAUUCUAUAGAUCUGGUUGGCAACUCCUUCUGAGGCUCUCAGUUUCUGACUGGAACAGGUCAUUAUGUGUGCACCUCAAUCCAUCACUUCCGAAGCAUCCUGUGAAGAAAUUGCCAUUAGAAACCAGUGUAGCGAAACCAACUACCUUCUAUCUAAAAGCAUGACUUGCAUUUUUGUAUCACAUCUCAUUCUUUUUAUUCCUAACAUUACCUAUCUAUCUGUAUAGUUACUUUCUGUAGCAGCAGAGAUCAUGCUGUAUCUAUUUUUACUGCACCAAUUACUGCUAUUUUAAGACUGUAUAGAAAUGUCUACAAAUAAAGAUUAGCUGAAAGUUCCCAAUGCUUUCCCAUUGCAACUGUCAUUUGAACCUUAUUAUAAAAGCCCGUACCUAUAGCAGUUAUAAUUGAUUGUUUUAAAUUCUGGACACCUGAACAGUGCAGUACUCAUGUUUCAAAUACCAGGAUCAGUCUACAAACAAAGGGCAACAGAUUUCAGAUGCAGCUGUUGCACUGAGUGACACAAACGGACAAAUUGCUUCUCCAUAAAUGCUACCAUUUACUAUACCUCUCUUGUCCAGGCUCCAUACUGAGUAAUCGCUAUCAGCACAAAACUGUGAUGCUUUACUGCAUAUACACAUUACAUUUUCUUACCUUUACAGAACUAGAGGUACAUAUUUUGACACAUAAAUGCACAUGCUUAAUCCAUCACUGGAAAAGAAAAUGUAAGUGAAGGAAAAUAACUCUCUCUACGUAUGUAUGUAUCACUGAGAGUUCAAACAAUCUUCUUUUCAGGUGAUAAGACCACAAUGCACAGGGAAAAACAAGCUAGUUCAAUAGGAUCAGAACUUAAACAGAAAAUGCAGGGUGCUCAGAUUACAGCAGUGAAGUAGCUGUGCAUGGUCAGAGCUGCAUUUCACGUGAGCUACCCUCUGUGACACUCAUCGGGUGAACAGGAAGGCUACCUCAGAGCUCUUCACCUGUUGACACCUGCCUGGUGGCGGCUGGAACAGGGCAGGACAAGGUAGGGUCCUGCAGUGCUGAACAGGCUGCUCGUCUUCAGACAAUCAGUACCGCAGGAUGUCUUUGCUCUUUUGAAUGUAAGAAGUCAUGCAGCACCCAGCAUGAGUCCAUAAAGAAUUUAGGGGUGAAGAAUUUAGGCUAGCUUGAAGGCAAAUCUCACAAGAGUAACAGUGCCAAGAGUUUUUAAAGAGUAAGCUUUUUGCCCCCUGACAAAAAGCUGAUAAUAAAAAUAACCUAUAAAUGCUCUAUUCAAAUGUAUAAGAUGUCUCUUAAUGCCUGUUGUUCUCCAAGAGCUUUUCUUGUCAAAUUCUACUUUGCAGCUAAUGAAAAAAAAUGUCUCCAGUGUUUCAUAAUGACAGGACACAGCUAGUUUAACGCUGCUGAGGAUUAAGGAGGCCUUGAACACAGCAACGUUUGUUGUUUGCCACAUCAGAAAACAAAUGCCGAACCACUUCAUUCAGGGUCUUCUAUUCAUCAAUCUCUUAAAAAAAAAAAAAAAGCAAAAAAGAAGGAGCAAAACAUCAGGACUAGAAAUAACACUGUGUGGAACAACAUUCUCAGCACUAGCGCCAGCUCACUGGGGAGCUGCUGCUUGUGAAGCGGUGUCCUGGGUUACCAUCAUGCAAAGCUCAGAGACUAUUUAGCCCAUAUUUUCUUCUACUUCAAAAGUUUAGUGGAGAGCAGCUAAGCUCAUCUUUAAGAAAUCUGCUCGUAGGGCUGGCCAUUGACAGCUAGAUUAUCUCUUUGUAUUAUUUUUCUUUUGAAAUUUUGUCAUUUGAUAACACAGUCCACUUUGCAUUUGCUGAGGUCAGUGGGAGUCUGACCUCUGAUUAAAAAGCUUUUUUUGCUCAGAGUCAAAAGACAAAAAGCACCUACAGUUUCACACGGGACUGUAGGAAAACAUAUCACGUCACGACGUGGACAACAAAGAGAACAACUCCUAAUUAUGUAGCCAGGACACUGCCACAGCAUCAGCAGUUACAGGGCUCUGGUGCAUCACGGGGCUCAGACAAGCUCAGGGCAGCUAGCCUGUGAAUUGCAAGCCAUAGCUCACCAUCCAGUCCCUUAAAGGGAAAAUACUGUGACUUCUAGUCCUACUGUAACAGUUGCAAAAUGAUUUUUUAAUAAAGAAAUUUUUCUGAGCUGUAGAAAUCGUUUUGUAUCACUUUCUUUAGAGAUAUUAAGUGGGUACUUUUACCACAGAACUUCCACACAAUAAAAUAUUUUCAAACUUUAUGAAGAACCUUAUACUAUAGCUAAUUAAGAUGAAUAGUUUUAGGAGAUUCUGAGAAAAAAUAACACCUUUACUCAUAAAACUUGAUGACAGCACCUAAUGUGUUAGAGAGAAAAGUGGUUACACGACUGUACUAUAAUACUUGAUAUAUAGUCUCAUGGCUCUCCUCUGCUGUGUUUUGUAUAACCUAUGAAGCCAACAAAGCAGAGAUAAAGAAAUAACUCAAAGGUAGGGCUCACAUGAUUCAUAUUUCAAUAAAGAAGAAUUAAAAUAGAUAAUGGUUCUCAGACAAACAAGAGAAACACUGUAUUUCUUGAAUAUUCCAGCUGUGACCUCCUUAGAACUUCAUUAUAUCGCAGAUCCAUUCUCUCCAAUUAGUCCAUACAUUAACUGUUCAAAUUCACUUGAUUUCAAUUUAUGAAUUAUCUCUUCAGCAUUAAAAUAAUGUAUUUUAUGUGGCAGAUGGGUACUGAAAAAGUUACAUUCAUAAAUUACAUGCUUCAGGAUCAAAAAGUAUUCCAGUGAGUUUGCAAAUACCUUAAUGCAGCAUCACCAUUCCCCUGCAGGCUUCUGCUGCGACAGGGCAGAUCCCGCCAGUGAAACAGGAUUUCUACAUCUUUCAACUCUCUUCACUGUCACUGUUAAGCAUUUUGAAAAUCCUGUAACUCUCCCUCCUUCCGCCCACUCUGCAGGAGGCUCGGAAGGAGGUUCUUAACUACCUCUAUUCUUUUCUCCUCUUUUUUUCCUUUUUUUUUUUUUUUUUUAUAACAAAGACUGCUGUUGCCAGUUCUAAUUUAAUUAAGAAACUUUACAUGAAUUGUGCUUUGCAUCCACCUCAAGCAGACUGCAGUUUUUUUGUUUCGUUCUCCAUCAGUGUCUUUUCAGCUCUGUAGUGAUGAACAGACGGUUUGCGAAAGAUCAAUCAAACAUACCCCUAUUGUUGUUAUUUUGAUAGAAUUUACCUACAAAUAUACUCUAAGUUUUCUGGAAAAAGAAGGUAUUUGAGGGACAGAUCACAAGACAGAACCACAAUUGGAACAGUGACAUUUUUAUGAAAUCCAAAGAAGCAAGGCGUGCUGUUGAUUCUCAUAAGUCUCACCGACCUCAUUUGCAGAGCCCCCUCAACCCAUAGGUCUCUUUAUCCUCUUUGGAUACCCUCCUUUGGAUUUCGGGCACAGCUAUUCCAGGACAAAUGACUUCAAGCACGCUGAGACAGCUAAGUGGUGGCAAGCUUCCAAACACAUACAGGAUUUUUUAAAAGCACACAAACGGAGCCAGUUUCCAUUGCCCUAAACAUAGCAUAGUCUUUCACAUAAGGGCGAAGCAGAUAGAAAAUGAAAUCAGGAUCAGAACAAUGAUGUGUUAAUGUUAUGUUCUUUGUAUCAGUCUAAAUACUUCCAAGAGAAGAGAAAAGCCUCUCCAUAAACAGAUACGUUUUUUUUUCCAAUCUAUUGAAUUGUGGGAGGAAAGAGAAAAAUGGAUGGCAAAAAAUGGAUUUGAAAAACAUUAAGACAUUCCUGAUAUAAGCCAUCUAAUGAAUAUUUAAGAAUCUCUACCUUUUACUAGAGAUCCACGUUCUCAGAAAGCCUGAAUAGUUGUCCUUAACCUUCUCCUUAUCUGAAGAAACAGCAAAGUGACCUCACUGAAAAUUUCUUUUCAUGCACUAUUUUCAUCUGCAUCCUCCUAAACUCAUCUCUCUCAACUGCAAAAAAAAAAAACAAACAACAAAACAAAAAAAAACCAAAGAAUGAAGAAUUGCUUAAACGAGUGGGUGAAAAACAAAAUGCAACCACUUUAUCUAUACAACACGCUAACAGCAAUCACAUGAUAAAGUCUUUUGUUUCUAUGAACACAUGGAAUUUCUUGGUGACAGAAGCAGUGUAUUGCCAAAGCUGUGAUGGCACUGACAGCCUUGUGUGGGGCACAAAAGCACAAAUGCUUUUCCUAUGAGACCUUGACAGUACUGCUCAGGAGCCUACAGCUUUGAGUACCAUGAGAAACAGCUUGCUGCUUUUCUGUGUAGCAAAAAUAUUCAUGGCUACCAGCUGCUGCUUCAGCACUUGCCAAGGAUAUCAGCUUCACUGUUGAGGCAAGAUGCUGGAAGUGCCACAGUAAACUGUUCAAUUGCCUUUCCGAGCUGAUUAUGGCUGAAUACAUAAAACACAUAACUGUGUUUAAACAAGUCAGUUUUGAUGCAGAAUCCUCCAGCUGGUUACUCAUCUUUUAUUUCUCCCGUGUUUUGCACAACAGAGAAGGUUACACUUUAGGUAGUCCACUGUCUAAAACAUUUAUGUGGCUUGAUGACAGGAUUGAGCUGGACAUUAAUUGUUCAGGAUGUGCUCAUCCACUCAUAGUAAACAAUAAAAGCUGAUUUUAAGUAAGUAUUUGUAAUGCCAAGAAAGCAAGCGCGGAUAAUUUCCCUUCAGCAAUGGUGUUUCUUUUGUGAACGGGUGUGAGCCAUCUCCCCUGUGGACAGGCUGGGCCCUGCUCCUACCUAGUUCCAUGUGUGCAACUGUAAAGAACCUUUCCACUUUUCUGAACCAUUCACAUCACUGACGUACUCGUAGUCCCCUAGGGGCUCUGGUACCCCUGAACACAGAUCUGCACAGUUGUUGUGGUCUUUGAUUUAUGUGCCUCUGCAUGUAGGUGCAUGUUUCAAGGAAGUAUUCAAGAAGCCAAAUAACAGAUGACAAAAUCAAUUAGGAAGCUACACCAACAUGCUGGUGUGUUCAUAUCUAACUACCUGAAACACAAUCUUUUUUUUUUACUAGUUAUUCUACCUUGCACAUUCAUGCUGAGAAAAAAUUACACUCACCGGCAUCUGUGUUUAAAGGCAACUCUACACAUACAACUGUGACUCCAUGACACAGAAGGAAGCAGCAAGCACUUCUGAUGGAGUAGAGAGAAAUGGACCCUCAUAGUCCAUUUCCAUCUGCAGUUCUAUUUGAGGUUCAGAAUCCUUUGUCCUGCAGAUAACCAAGAAAAGAGCAGCAAAUGAGAAAGAAAUUACAUGUCACAACAAACAAGAAGAGACAAGAUUCUGUCCUCAAAGUUCAGAUUAGAAUCCAACUUUGCUCAAAGUUAAGUGACAUUCCACUCUAGAGUAUUCUUCAAGGACAAAUCUGGGAAAGAGAGAGAAUAAAAGACUUCAUUCUGUGUGUCCACUGCAUGGAAAGUCUCUUCAACACACAAUGUGAAAUGCUUUAUAUUUUAGAAAUCUAUCUACCAGGCUUAGUGAGCAUUGAAGUUAACAGAAAGCCUCCCACAGGUUUUACUGGGCUUUGGUUUAGGUGAUGUGUUUUAAUUCUUUUUUUUCUUAUGAUACUAAAUUAUAGAAGUUCUCCUUGCUCUGUUCCCCUCCACACUGCAGGCAGCAUGCACAGAAGCAUUUCUCCAUCUUCCUUGGUGUUUGUGUUUGAUGGGGGCUCCAUUAAACCCUCCUGGCUGUUACUGCUCAGAAGGAUUUAAUGAAUCAUAGAAUCACUGAGGUUGGAAAAGAUUGAUCUUUAUCCCUGGUAGCACCUAAAAAAUGGCAUUUAUGUAAAGAAUUUAUGCCAAAUUGUUUUAUGUUUUGUGUGAGAAUGUAGGAGCAAUAACAAUAAUAAUCAGACAGCAAAGCUUAUUUAAACACUGAGGCAGGCAGGUAAUGCUACUCAUAGUCAAGAGAAGUGAAAAUAUAAUACUGAAUCAUCAUCAUCUCUCAUGUUAUCAUUUUCACAUUAAGUUAAAAUUCAGACACAAAAAAGCUAUUUUUUUCUGAAUUUAUCAUAAUAGAAAUUAUAAACACAAAGUAUGAUAUUCUAUGUUUUUUAUUUAAGUUUUAGAGAAUAUCAGAACAAAUAAAUACCAGCAGUGUGCAACAAUCCAGCCCCAACCUUUCCAAACUUCUUUGUAAUACCCUAGGGGCUAGGACUCUUAAAUGUAUGUAAUCAAACACUUUAAAGGCCAAAACCCAAAGCUUUGGUGAUUAAAUACCCCCGUUGUCCCUGAGAGAAGCAUUCAACAUAUGCUUCCUCCGUGGCAUUAUAGAUUAAUUUUAUUUCAUCACAUCCAUAGCAUGUUUUAUUACUUCCAAGCAGCAUUCCCUAAUGUAUACAAUUGCCAGACAGAGUCUCUGAAAAUGAGAACUGAUACUUGGUGGGAAGAGAUGUCAGAAAGACCAUUUACUGUUUUAAAGUGCAGUAGAUGGAUGACCAGUGAACUCAUCCAUUCCAAGGCAAUUUUCUUCCUUUACUACUGAAAGGUUUCAUCCCCUUGGAUAAGAUGUUCACCAAAAGAAAUGGAGGUAGUUCUUCAUGAUGAUGCAUUAGAAGAGCUUUUUUUUUUUUUUUUUCUUUUUCUUUUUUUUUUUCCUUUAAAUAUUUGGGCAUUAACAGUUUUCUAAAUCAGAGAAAAUCAAAGCUCUUUCCUCUGUCAUGGUUUCUGGGAGGAGGCAGAGGCAAUUCAUUUGUUUUCUUGCUGUCAAAAACUUUAGUAUGAUUAAAACAUAAAAACAAGCUUAAAGUAGUCCUAGAAAGCAUGUCCAGUCUCAUUAGCAUUAGAAACAUUGUUUAGAUCAAACAUAUUUAAGAGUCCUUAUGCAGCUCUUUCCAAUCAGGCUUUCAGUGAUCUUUUGUCAGCAUCAUGGGACAUGCUACUAUUUCUAUUCCAUGCUUUGACCAUUUUCAAAACCCUCCUGCCAAGUCUCUGUUGCUUUAAAUUCAUCCCUACCCAACUGCUCAACCAAAUGGUAUCUACUCUCUCCCGCUCCAUCUCAUCUGCCACUGUAUCCACACUUUUUCCUCCUGUUUAGGGCUGUUGCCACAGCUGUUCAUACAGCCAAGGAGAAGCAUCACUGAAUUUUGCAAAAGAAUGUGCAGCCCCUUGGUUUGUGAAGAGACCAUCCACAUUAUUUCUUUUCCACCACCUCCACUCUAGGCUUUCUAAAUGGGAGGGGGGAUCUGGGCAAGCAUGCAAGCAGAAACUUGAGCAAAGCAGCCCUUUCAUGUAAAUAAAACUUCCAGAUUCUUGUUUAUAAACUACAUAAGCUAGUAUAACUGUAUGAAGCAACUAUAAAUUGCUUUACGAUAAAGCAACUGUUGGAUAGAAUUUAGAGAAAUUUUGAACAAUGCUUUAGAAAACAGAAGCUAAUUAACCCCAUAGCAUAUGUAGUUGCUGUCUCAAUAUUAAUGCAUUAUUCACACACCAUGGCAGCAGAAAGUAGUACAUAUAUAUAUAUAUAUUAAAAAAUUAACAUAUCAAGUGUUCUCAUAAAUCUAGAUUAUUAGGCUACCUAGUUAGCGGCACGGUUUAUGUCCCCUGAAAGUCUGAGCAUCUGCUAGGUACUUGUGGAUUUAUUCACAGGCUACCACAAUGAGGCAGUAGUAAGUUGCGGUAAAUGCGCUAUUUACAGCAUAAAUGAUGCUGAAGUGCUAAUUAGUGCUAAUUUGACUUGGCCCAUUUUGGACCUCUGACAAUAACAGCUCUUCGAAAGCAAGCAGAUCUGGCAUAUCUAAGGAAAAAUUCUACUUCUCUAUUUCUCCAUCUAUUAUGACAUCCUUAAUGCAAGAUGCAAAUAAAUUUAAAAUACCUAUUUUCCUGAAGUGUUAGCCAAGGACAGUUGCUACUGCAGACUUACUUCUAAAAGAAAACAUUACAUGUAUUUGUCUUAACUAGGAUUAUUAGAAGUGUUAGAGAAGGAAGAAGCUAGGGACAAAAUACGUCACUGAAUAUUGGUUCAUCUGUUAAGUUACGUACUCAUCUGAAAGUUAAUUAAAAAAAAAACAAAACACCCCUCAGCCCCCUUCCCUCCCUCCAAAACAAAACACCUUUUUUGUCUUUAAGAUAAGCAGAAGCUGUUUCCCAAAGAGAGAGUCAGCAACAGGAGAAGCCAAUUUCUCAGCUUUCAUGUCUGCCUUUGGGGCCUUGAUAACUGUAGAUAACUGUACUUUCCCCCAUUUUCACUAGAUGAAUCAGCCCAGUGAAGAAAAACAGCUUAGAGAUUCAGUAGGUUCAUCCUUUGAGAAAUAUGAUGCAGUAAACUUUCUUGAUCAGGAAUAUUUUUCUAGUAGGACAAGCUACAUAAUUAGGUUCCUUACAGAAGAGAACUUUGAAGCUACACUUUGCCUCCAAAUACUUGUCAUUUGACCCAGAAGGCAGUAAGUGAAAAACACUGAGCAAAUAAAUCAAAAAAAAGCUGACACGGUUUUCUGGGUAGUAAAGCUUCCGUGUGUUAACAGAAGGUUUGAUUCUCACUGCCUUUGAUAACUGCAGAAUGACAGGCAAAGUAAAGCACUACUCAGAGAAUGACAGUGUUGCAGAAUGUGUCCAGUGGAACCAUUACUCAAAAGAGGAGAGUAACUGCUUCAGCAGUCUCUCAGAUGAAUGGAAUACUGGGCAAAGACUGAAGGAUGUUUUCUAUAAAUUAUACUCUAAUAAUAAUAAUAAUACAUUUAAAUGCUUAAUUUAAAUACUUAAGUAAUCCUAUUUCAGGUUUAUCAGUUGCAUUUGUGCUUUGUCUCUCCUUAUAACUUAACGAAUAAGCAGAAUAUUAGAUAUUUCUGGUAACUACUCAUCUGGGGAAGUUACUGCUACUAAGAAAUGAGCAGUCCCAGCACCUUUAUGGGAGAGGGGAAAAAAAAGAUCACAAGAAGAUGCCUGCCAACUUCUGACGUUAAAAGCAGGAAAUAAUGUGGAUUAAAAGCCUGCAGAUCCUACAGCUGGGAAGAUAAAUAUACAGUAAAUGAAAGCAGAAGUAAUUAAAAAGAAUAUGGAACAAAAUUAAGAAUUACAUAAGACUGCUACUUCGCUCUCAAUGACACCAAAAUACUGCUAACUUAUUUUCAUUGAUAUAUUUGAUGGGAAGCAAAUUUUUGGAGUUUUGACUUUAAGUUUGCAGAUGUGAAGAUUCAGGUACAGCAAACAUGACUGAUCAUAAGCAUCUGAGAGCAACAGAAAGGCAACAUACUUUAGAAAACUUUCACAAAACGCCCUGAUAUUGUCUACUUUUCCUAUUUCUAAUGGUAUACUGGCGUUAGAAGUCUUCUUAUGCAAAGUUACAUCUCCAUACUUCUGAAAGUCCCCAUUUAGCACCAAAAGAAAAGGAGUGAUUUUAAUUUGCAAAGUUCCUGUUGUGACUGUGAGUAGCACAGGGGCACUGCAACCCUCUCAGCAGCAGGGGGCUCUUGGAAGUGAGAAAUUUGUUCACUGACUUCCCAGGAAAAACAUUCUAAAGGUGCUCUCUACACAAAGAUUGUUAAGGGUGUUUGUCCCUGCACUGCAACCAAGGCACUCUCAGAUCAGAGCCGGACCACAUGCACUGGAUCAAAAUUUCUGAUCAUCAAAAAAAACCCAUUGCUAUGCACUACUUCAAAGAGCAGAGCCAUUCUGCGCUCAUCCGAGCUCACACAUUUCUGUUCUAACCAGACGAUUCAGAGAACUGCUACUUCUAACAAGGGCUAAAAUUUUCUUCAAGUAAAGAACCUACAUUUGCAACAUAAAACAAGUUUACUGUGGAGCUAUUUGUGCCAAGAAAGAUACAUUCUCAAUAUCCUUUCUGCUUUUCCCCACCAGAGCUGUUCUUUAGCAGGUAACAUAUAUUUCCAGCAUUGCUGACACAAAACAGCACAGCUACUGCAUAAGUGUACAAACCACAUAUGCUGACAAAGCUGAAUGCAGCGUGAAUUAGACAAGUAGUUGUCAAAGAUGAUCAAGAACCACGGGCAGCUUAAUUCAGAUGAGUCAAAUACUGCUUUAAAAAUGUCCCAGCUGAAAACAAAAGUUUAGAAUAGGCUGAUAAGCAGACAUCAUUCACAAAGAAAAACUGUUGGACUUUGGGGAUAUCUUGUUAAAGGAAUUUUAAAAGAGGCAAUAAACGUAAUUAGGCACAAGAAUAUAAUUUUUUAAGUGGAAGUAGACCAGAAACUCAGGCCCACCAUGUGCAGCAAUCCGUUUAUAUCUGUGACUGUUUUCCUGCACUUUUGUUGUUGUUGUUAUUCAAACUAUGAUUACGGUUGUGAUGCAUUUAGGGUAAAAUUUAACACUCUAGGUAUUAGUUCAAGCAUUAUCUAGGAGCUAUUAAAUCCUAGCUCACUGAGGCGUUACGUGUUACAUCUCUUAGUGGAUGAAUUCCACUAUAGCCAAGCACCACACUUUGUUCACACAGCUCCAUAUUGAUUAGCCCUGAAAACUGGGUACUUUUAAUACAGAAGAAAAGGAAUUUGUAGAGACCCUGGCACUGUUUCAGACAGGAAUUAUUUAUUUUCUUAAAAAGCCUUUGAAUUCCUAUCAAGUGCAGGUGUUAUUUGCUUUUGUUUCUGCAGAAGAUUAAGUAGGCACAAGGGUGUGUUUCACCCUUGUUGCAACUGUAAACCUAUGGCAGAAAUUGUCUUCCACUGACAUGUUCAAGGAGAAUUUUGCUUCAGUAAGUAUUAAAGAAUUGGUUCUUAAUAGGUCCACAGCAGAAUUAACUGUAUAAAGAUUUCUGAUGUAGAACAUACUCUCAAAAUUUCCAGUAAUGGGCUCAUACACCAAGGUUCCCCCUAAAACAAAAGAGUUACUCUGUGCAUUCCAGAAGCAAGGCACCAGCAGCACAGGCUAGGGGCUAAGCAUACUUACUUACACCGGGGAAAAAAAAGAUCUUAACAGAAUAAAAAUAUUGUUAAAUAAUUUUAAGCUAAACAUCUUGUGCUUGGAUUUUUAAAGAGCUAAGAGUCUGUGUCAGAUGGGGGAUAAUCCAUCGUGAUACAAUUAAAGUGCAGCUUGAGGAUGACCUGCCUCUGCAUCUCACCCACUAGAGCAACUUUUAUUUUAAGCUGUCCCCUCUGUUUGCUUCUCAAAUGCUUCUGAAGAAGGAAAGCCAAAAGUUCUUGACAGUGCUCUUAAGGCAAGUGCUUUCUGCUCUCUUUUCCUCAUACCAGUAACCUGUCUCAUCUCUGAAAUAUACGACAGCACAGAGACAAGCAGUCCUGGUGCUCUCUUCUCAUGGAAGUACCUGCCACUGCACCCUCACAAAUAUUACAAAAAAUACAAUUAUUUGACCUCCGCAAGACGACACACCAGGUCUGUCCACAUUCUGAGGCAAACUGAAUCAAUACUGCUGUGUUAGUAUAAUCCUAAACCAGUUCUCACAUAACCAGUUGGGUGAGCAUGGUAUUAAGUUGUGGCAAGCUGAUCAUGGCUAUGUGGUUGUUGAAAGCUCAAACAAACCUUGGGCAGAUUUUACACAAUUGAGAGUGUAUUCAAGAGACCCUGGAGACCUACUUAUACAGAGUAAUAAAUGCUUGGAACUAGGAUACACAGGGAAAAAGCUAACUGCAAAAUCUCUCUUUCUGAUCUCAAGUGUAGAAACACACUACACACACCAGACCAUGUUUUCAGCUGAAGCUAAACAGUUAGUCCAUAACUUUGGUAGUCAUAGAAUGUCCUGAGUUGGAAGAGACCCACAAGGAUCAUCAAGCGCAUAGGCCUGAUUCACAAAUACACAUGAGAAUAUCUUAGUAUGGCCAUUAUCUACAAUACAAGACUACUUAUUCAACAAGAAAAGACUAGUAGAUUUUAACGAGAAGCUGGAAUGUUCUUCCAAAGCCAAGAAGAGCUUGCACCGUGGGUGCAGACAAUACUGGUACCAGGUAGAAGGCUGUAGUUGAAGUCCUGAGUUUUGAUCCAUUUCCCUGCUCUGACUCUCAUUCCCAUGUCUUUUUGGGCAGAUAUCUCACACACUGUCCAUUUCCUUCCUUCUUUCCUAGUUUGCUUACUUACAAUAGCAGAUCCACGAAUCAGAGAUGUUUUCUCUAACACCACUGUAGUCUCCUUUAUCUAGAAUCUGAAGAUCACCUCAGAGACACGGUGAUAUGGAGGAGCAGAGACUAUAAUGGCAGCUGCUGAUUGAACAAAGAAUGAAAUGUCCAAAGUUGUAAAUACAGUCAGUUGAUGAAGAAAACUCCUCCCAAACAGUCACAUAUACAGUAACGUAUAAAAUAUCUUUCACAUCAUUAGAAGAGUUCUCAUUCAGAUAACUUUGGAGGAGGGGGGUGGGGUAGAAGACCUCCAGAAGCACCUUACAAUCUUAACUAUACUGUGAUUCUGUAACUGUCAUAGUAUCAUACAUCCUUGUUAAGCUUAAACGGAUCAUUUCCCAGUCAGUUCAGAGAAUUUUCAUUUAGCUCCAUGUGUAAUUCUUUAAAUAAUUACACAUGCAAUAAAUUAGUGAAAAAUCAAAGAAACUGCCUGCACUUAGACUACCAGCUUAAUUUGGCAUGCUCUGCUGCACGCUUCUAAAUGCUCAAAGUCUUUCAGGCCCUGCUUAAACCAACAGCCUCCUCACUGUGCAAAUAGUCUUUAUAAAAAAAAAUAGCAAAUUAAAUUUCGCACUUAGUGAGGUGUGAAAUUCUUACGACGUUUUGUUAAAAAAAAAAGAGAGAGAGAGAGAUUGGGAUGUGCCACUGUCUUGCCUCCAAGAACAUGUUUCUGUUUGGAAAGUGAAAAUCAUCAACAAUCAUCAAGUUAGGUGGGAAACAAACACUGUUAUAAAUCCCCCCUGCUCUCUGUAGAAGCCAUGGUAAGUUUUUUAAAUUGUUAUUUUAAAAUUCUCUCAUUAUGUGGCUUGCACUGAUUAAGCUGAGCUGUUUCUGCUUGUCCUCUUCCUUGAGCAGAGUCAGUUUUCUCAGGUGCUUCAGCUGACUUCCUCUUUUUAUAGAGAAACACAGAAGGGAAGGGGUGAAAGUCUCAUUCACAACAUGGUAGCACAAGGUAACUUGCAAGUAUAAAUGUGCAGAGCCCGUUUUGUUUUGCUUAAAAUAAAAAAAUUAAAGCGCAUUAUAAAAACUGAAAUGAUUAAAGCUUAUUUGUCAUCAAAACUAAGAAAAAUAUUUAAUAUCUUGAACAUUUAGUCAUCACAUACAUGAAGCAGGACCACUUUCAGGACAGAAGUUUUUAGAGUAUUCUGAACUGCAUUGAUUAACAUUUCAAAUCUCUGUGAAUCUCCCUAGAGCCAAUGGCAUCAGCACUCUGUCUGUACAACGUUUUCUACUUACAGGAGAUAAGGAUCUGAGGACCAGACGUUGGUUUGGCAUGUCCAUUUCUGAAGGAGCUUAACAGUGCAGUAUCACUUAAAUAAUGAAGCACCCAUCUGGAAGAAGAUUGCUUAGGUUGGCUAAGUUUGUGCAAGAAAAUAUGACAACCUUGAUGGGAAGAAAUUCAAGCUGAAAUCUUAUAUAUUAUAAUUAAAUAGCAGGCAUUUUUAUAAACUCAGACUGACACAGAAAUGAGACAAACAUACUGAACAACCUCUUUUAUCACUCAGUAAAUGACACUGGUGGUCUACAGUUCGAAAAAAAGGAACAGUAACUAUUCUCGUUCUAAUAAUUUUACAAGAUAGCCAUUCUUCUGCAGCUAUCCACAUCCCAGCUCAGUGCUUUAACUGCAGUAAUCUUUGCCUCUGAGUCUUUGGUGUUUAAAAAAGGCAUUCAAACACUCAAACACUUAUUGCAAUUUAGCUGAUUCUCUAUUAUCUGAACAUUUCAACUUCAACACCGUUUUGUUGCUGCUUUAGUGGGUUUUUUUCCUACUCCUUUUGGCAAGCAUUGAUUUUCCAUUAGUACUUCUGACAGAGCAUGAACCAGCUGUUAUGUUUCAUGAAGUGAUACAGAAAGGAGUGCUCACCCUCAGAUGGAUGCACAUACAAACACUGAACUAUCAGCAGGAGUACCGCUCUCUCUAUCCCACUCUUUUCUCCUGCUAGUUUUUUCCUUUUUGAAGGGACAAUGUUAAGUAGCUAACCAAGGGAAGGGGUCAGAAAACACCAUCACAAGUCAGUUGUACUUAGGUUCCCCCUCUGAUGGUCCUCAAUUGCCAUGCCAGCAGAUAUCAGAACUUGAUUGCUGAUCUCUUCUGAAUGGUGCUGGCUCUUUCCACAGAGCGGCCUAGUGCCUUAGUCACCACAGAUCAUGCUGUCUAGCUUUGCUGUUUCUCGGCAUCCAUUUUCUAGGGUUUUGUCCUGGAGUGACUGAAUAUUCAGAGGAAAAUCCUAACAGAUACGCAACUGUACAGAGUAACUGGUACAGUGUAGAGAUAAGUGUACAGCGUACAGGUAUGUUGUCAUGGUUGCCUGUAAGUAUAAUCCUGGAGCCUUCUCUUCUCCAAGCUAAACAAGCCCAGUUCCCUCAACCUUUCCUCAUAGGAGAGGUGCUCCAGCCCUCUGGAGGAGGGAGAGACUGAGUGAGUUAGUGACAUAAGGACGCCCCUUUUUGGCUCCACCUGCCGAGCCUUGCAGUACAGUUAGGAGGCAUUUCCUUUCCCAUUUCUCUGAUUUAUUAAUCUUAAUUUCUUUUAUAUUGUAUUAUAUCACAUUAUUUUACCUUUUCUAGUAAAUUAGUUUAUCUGUCUAGCUUGUCCUUUUCACUUCUCUGCCAGCUUCCCACAAGGGGAGGACCAAUCCCCCCAUCAAGUGACAAAAGACCCUCAACCUACAACAUAUGUACACAUAAGUCUACACAGAAAUCAGAAACAAGAUAAACAUUCGCCUUUCUUGGCUUCUCCCAUUGUUCUCAUAUCACUAUCACAUGACAAUGGUCAGCUUCUUCUAGGCCCAAUACACUGAAAUAUGAAGCUAACAUCUGAACGUUCCAUUAAAGCUAAAGGUCUUUUUGAUGAGCUACCCAGAUACUUUUAAAAAUAUUCUUCAUUUUAUGAGCUAGUAAUUUUAUUUUAAGAAAAAACAUAUCUGAUAUGAUAGUACAAUUCCCCUACAGAGAUGAGUAACACCCCACAGCUCAAACAUCAUUUUCUGAAUCACAAUCUGAAAGUGUCUCAUUGCUGUGUGCUUGGUUGUUUAUGUCAGAGUACACACGGAGAGCUAUUCAAGGUGCUUUUUUUCCUGUGGGGCUCAAGAGCAUCCUAUAUGCCUUACCACCAAAUAGAUGUUACUUAUUCAACGUGUUACCAUGGAGAGGAGCCACUUCACGCUUUGCUCAUGUUGCACUUCUUCACUUGUUUUUCUACCUUGAAAGCAAGGACAUUGUAUUCUUCUAUACGUGCAAAGCAUGAAGCACAUUCACUUCAGCAUCACUUCUGCUGCACUGUUCAGAGCAGCAAGCAUCUACUGUCAGAUCACUUUGUACUAACAUUUGCGUUCCUUCUUGUCUCUAACUUGGUCAGUCACUGAAUAAAACUGUUAUUCUGCAUCCUCAACAAACAACCUCAUUGGCAAGUUUAUUGACUUAUGUCUUUCCUCACAGCAAAGCAACAAACAACAGCCAGAAAAUCACAGGAACAGGAUGGUACCCCUUUUGAAAACAGGUGACACAAUACAUAGAUUCAGGCAUUCACACGAAGGUCCAGCAGCAGUCCCACUUCUGAGCACUGGAAGCUCUGUGGUGGCUUCGCAGCCCUGAGGUCUCCCCUCUUCUCAGAGGGGGCUGGGUGCUAGAAACCUCAGGAUGGACAAGAUCAUUUCAAUGGGCAUGGAAGCUGAGCUCCCAGCCUAUCUACCUAAUAAUGCAUUGUGGAAAUACAUUAUUUCAGAGGCGGCCUGGCUGCUGGGGAUCUGAGAGCUCCAGAUGCUCCCAGGUGGCCUUCAGUACCCAUUCCGGCUCCAGGUGGCUGCCCUCAUCUCACCUCAUCCUGCCAUACACUUUUGCUAAUAGACAUUGAGGUUCCCUGAGAAGUAUUAAUAAUCUAACUGAGCUGCCCAGGGCAUCUCACUACCCUGAACCUAUUUCAAGCUACCAUCAAUCUGCAUCCCAUAUUCAGGACUUUUAUUCUAGCUGCUAGAAUUCAAACUGAUACUGGCUGUCAAAGAGCCCAGAAAUACAAGAAUCCAUAUGCCCCAGAAUCAAUUAUAUAAUGUCAAUUUCCUAACACAGUUCCCCCACACAGAACCGUAGGAAUGACCAUAUUUUCUUAGUUUAUCUUGCUUGAAAGAUCAACUUCAUUACAGAGACAAAGACCCUGUAAAUGUAAUUAGUUUGUGGACCUUGCACAGACUUCUCCAUAGAACAACCAGUGACCUGAAACUGAAAAUCAAGGGAUUUACACGUUCCUUACCUUUUAAGGCUUCUGGACAGUGAUAACAACACUACUUGGGCUGCCUUGUCCACGUGAAAAUCCCUAGGACAAGUCUCAGAUCUGCUGAGCUACAUGCUGGCAGCCACAAAUAACACUCAGAGCAGAACAAACUCCUCUUGCCUGCAGCAGUACCAGAAAGCUGCAGUAGUGCCACGUGGAUCCAGAGGUCAUCCUUGCUUCCAGCAGACACCAAAGAUGUGGACCUCUUCUUGACAGCUUUAUCUUCUGUGCUUUACUAGGCAGCUCACUGCUCAUUUGUUUUGUUGAGAACUGGGCGGUUAGUGCAAUGAGACUGGAGAGAGUGCAGAGUGAGCAGAGGGUGGUUAUUAGGGUGAUGGGGGGCAAAGACCUGGCUCAACAGGAAAGCAUGCUGAAUGGCUGCUGCCACCACAGAGACACUGCCCAGUCCUGUUGUUCCAUCUAAUUCCUGAAAAAGAAAAGCAGGUUGUUGACGCUUCCAAAAGCUCUGUUUAGGGAAGAGAUAACGUCACCAUGAAAUACAGCAUGUGCAGACCAAAUAGCUGUGGCAAUGGAGACAGAGGAGGUAACAAUCACUUUUUUUCCUUUUCCUUUUUUUUUUUCCCCUCCACUCAGGCAUACCUAACAGUAAGGGAGAAAAACAAAUUCUAAGUGUAUCAAUGAAAUAAGCCCAUCUGGUCUGGUGUCAAGUGUGAUAGCCUGCUCUAGCCAAGCAUCUCUUGUGUAUUGUCAGUGUGUUUAAUCACUGUUAACCUAGGAUGUGAGAAGCAAAGAGAGCCAGGUUCAGUACCCUGCACUUGCAGCCAAUGCAAGAGUCAGGAACAGCACCCAGACACCCUGACAGCUAGGCAGAGUACUUCACUACUGCAGAAAGCAUCUGAUUUUGCCAAACAUGUCCACACUGGAACGAUUAUGUUUGGCAAUCUCAAAAAAUAAUUUUAAAAUGCUCUCUCCAAUACAAUCAUUGAAUUUGAACUGUAAUAUUUCCUUUAAAAAUUCACAGUCAUUCUCCUUUCUAUUCCUAAUUUUCUGGAUUGCAUCCACACUAUGGAACAGAAUUGUGCUUCAUGCAAUCAUCCAGAGAUUUCCCAGAAAUUUGCUUUCUAAUUUGGUUGAAAAUGCCUCAGCAACUGCUUUUUGCACCACAUUUUGCAUAUAGCUGGUUUUUCUAUGAACGCUGUCUAUGAAAUGUAGAAACACAAUAUUGCAAUUGUUCAAUUUGUUUUUCACACCACAACAUCUGGUGGUGUUAUGUGCUGUAUUUAAGUUCAGGUAUAAAGAUAAUUUUCUGUGCAAAAUAAAUAAUAUUUUAGUAAAAACAAUAAAAAAAUCCUGGAGAAUCUGAGUAAAAGGUAACGUUGAAAUGAAUAGGUGUUUUACUGCAAGAAUGAUUCUAUAAUUCUCUGGCAAAGAAAAGAAAUAUCAGCUCUUGUGAAAAUCCAGAGCUUCUCAGGCUGUUAUUUACAUACAUGUUAUUUAUGUCAGGUAACCUCUCUGUCCCAUCAUUUACUCAUUGGUAAAAUGGAAAUAUUGCUUAAGAUAACUCCCUCGUGAAACGUGAUUAAUAUUCCUAGUGCUUCACAAUCGUUUGUUUGAUAGUGUGGCUGCAGAAUACUACUGCUAAAGACAUACUGCAGUAUUUACAUCUGUUAAAGUAUUGACUAAGCUCAUCUUUCCUGUUUUUAGAGUUCUAACUAAGCAAUGCUUAAUGAAAUUUGCUAGACUAACUGCUCGUGUUGUCUCUGCUGGUAAUGCAAAAGCAAACGACUGUAAGUACGGUACCCUGAAGGCAGACAUUAGGAGUUUCUCUGUUGAAUCCAGCAGAGAAGUUUCUUGCAUCUCCGUUGAAUGCCAUCAUGCUGUGAUUAGUUAAUCAUUAAGUACAUAGUGCUUUUAAUUAACUGCCAACUCUGCUUGGGCAUCUGUUCUGAAAAUCACAUCCGAUCAUGCUUUUCCCAGUCUGUGGCUAUGAAGCUCUUCAAUAAUACAGUUGUUCCUCCAUUCUCCAGCUCUUUCUGCUGCUAGAUAGAUUGAGUCCAAAGCAUCCUCCAUGAAAUGAAAUAUAAAUGAUAUGCUUUUCCAAGGGAAUAAAAUUAAAUAAAAAGUCAAUAGGUAAUAAAUGCUACUAUAAAAAGCAGAUGGGGCCAAUUAUUUUUACUUCUGGAUGAAAGAAGAAUAUUUUUAUAUUUCAUUCCCAGCACCAGGAGGGCUAGCUAUAUUUCUAAACACUAAUAUUUAACUGUAGAAAAUAAUUCUUUUCAUUUUAUAAGGAAGAGACUGACAACAUAUACAAAAGAUUUAGCAAAAUAUUUCAUUUGUCUUGAAGUGAAAGAAAGACAGAUAGUGCAAACUUUUCCUUGCAAAGAAAGACUUGCAUUCUGCUCCUCAGCCCUGGAUGAGGCACUGGAUCCCUUCAAAGCACUGCCCUGCACCAAAACAGUCUGACCUGCAAGGUCAGUGACAGAGCAUGCACUUCACAUGAGAAGUAGCUGUGCCAUUACAUGCCUGAUUAAUGAUCACAAAAUAGCAUUAGGAUUGCAAGAAAUAGUCUCAGCCAACACUCUCAUAGACCACAUGAGAUAAGCUUGGUCACACUGCCAAUAUAUACAUAUAUACACACACACACACACACAUACAUAUAUACACAUAUGUAUGUGCAUAUACAUACAUACAAAUAUACGCAUACAUAUGUAUGUAUAUAUAUACAUAUAUAUAUAUAUAUAUGAAAGUUCCUGGAUGUCUGGAAACACAACUAGAAAUAGCCAGAAGAGCGGCCAUAUGCUUCUCUUUCUAUUGAACAUUUGUUAGACAAGGACAUGCAAAAACCCUACAUUCAGUACAGGACCAGUGGCAAAUUCCCUACUUCUGCUCCCAAACCAGCAUGUGCCAACUUAUAUUCUCCAUCUCCAUCUGGUAUUUAUCAUGUACGGAUCUGGGCUAGUAAAAAGGUAAAAUAUGUAAAGUACCCUUUAUUUCUAUAUAGAAAUAUGUGUCAAGGAAAGAACAUUCUUUGUCAAGUACCAAGAGUGGAGAGGAAUAAACCAGCAUUAAGCUUUUAAACAGUAGUUCUUUAAGGAGUGGAGAUCAGAAACUUAUAUGAGUCUUGUAAUGUAAAAUAAAACAUUAUAGUUAAACAACAGCCAGUCUACAGCAGAUAGGCAUGUAAUGAUUACAGUUAAUGUAACAAACACUCACUGCCAGAUACACGUUUUACAUAACUCUCUUUCAACAAGGUCAAAGUAAUUCUCUUGUAUUCUUUAAAAAUUCCACUAUGGAUGUCAAGAUGUGCCAACAGAUUGAGAAGAGGUAUUUCAUAACGACAUAAAAAUACAAGUUUCUAAUUGUUUCCACACUGAACCACAGCAAGGGCGGCACUUUUAUAUAUGGAGUUCAAGGUAUUCCUCGGAACAGGCUGUUUUCUGAUGACAUCAUAAGAGCACGGUCACUCGGGUAACAACUUGUUACCAUGGUAACUACAGCUUUUACAGAUGCUGAAUGCUAUGAGGUUAAAACCACUAUUUGGAGAUUUGCUAGGUAAAAGUUUGCCAAUAUUAGAUGUAAGAAGUAACAAGGAGUUCAUUGCAGUUGCAAAGCAUUGUGCAGUUCUUUGUCUAUUACUGGGAAGCUGAGAACAAUCGGUUCUAUCUUCCAGACAAGGAGUUCCUGUAGUAAUCACACUUUCAGAUAGGUUCUUUAAUGCCAGAGCAGCUAGAAGUAAACCUGAACAUUAACUUUGCGACUUGGGGGUGGCUGAUAGGAAAGGACUGCUACUCCAUCUAAGAGCCCCUAAAAAUAUUGAUGUUCAGGAAUCCAUAUGGUCUCUGCUCUGGGCAUAUCAAAACUACAGACUGUGAAGACAGUUUGUAAUUAUCCAAAGACAUCUUUGGAAAAGAAGCAGAUUUUGGUUUUGUUUGUCCCUAACUGCAAAAAAAUAUAAUGUAAUUAUAUAGAAACAUUUGUUUUUGUAAGCAAUUGCUAUCUGUGCUCAGACUACUGUCAGAUGAAAGCAGCGAGUCUCACAAUCUUUUAAAACAUGUUUCUGUCCCAGAACUUGAUGCAUUUUGCCAACUGCAAGCAAAUCUCAGAGUUCCUAGAAUAACAUCAAGUUUAAGAUAUCAACCUGCCAAUUAGCCUGUCCUCUGCAAGACACUGAACAAUUUCAUAACAUAAGUCACAGAUUUUUCAAGUGGUUUUCUCUCCAAACAAUACAGAAGAGGCUUGCUGCUAACACUGCCAGUAAAAUAAAUUCCCUACUUCUGAAAGGGUCAAACACAGGCUGGUCAGAAUCCAUGCUUAAACAUGUACAAAUAUUAGCAGAGCAUUUUUUCAUUUUGCACCAGCAAACAUCAGCUCACUCAGAUCCUCCAGAAACUGUACUGUCUGCCAAGCAGGGGAUCUGCUAGCGGUGGCUUGGCAUUAAGAGGAAGAGCUGGAGGGAGAGAGAGGUGUACAGAUUUACCCUUAGAGCUCCUUUCCUCAGCAAAACCUUAGUGUGAAGAACCUUAACUAAAACUGUCAUAAAAGUUGAGUUUAAAUGUUCACAUUAAAAAAGCAAAACCCAAGGUAAACUAUUUAAAAUGAAUUUGAUACCACAUUUAAACUAUGUGGGCAUUACUGGCCAUCCCAGAGGAGUGGUCACAGCCAAAUUAUAACACUUAGUCCUGAAAUGGUCUCAAUAACAGAAUACUGAGAUACAACAAGAAGCUUCAAGAAGCUCUCCUUUUCUGUAUCUAUAUGAAAGCCAUCCGCACCAGGGCAAUAAAGACAACAUGCUUUCCAUGCAGCCACCUACUUCCCCCUUCACCCCUCCCCAUAUACAUUGUACCAGGCAUUUCAUACUGUUCAGGAUAUUUCCUUUUUAGUCCAGGAUAAGAUUAAGACCACCGCUGGUUUUCAUUUCCACACAUUAUCCAGCAACCCCUGCUCCUAUUGGCAGAAGAGUACCUUCUUCAUGCAAUUCUCCCCCAUCAUCUGUGAGAACAGAGAUGUGGAAGAGGCCAAUUACCUUUUGGAGAGAAGGAAAUUACUUGCUUAUAAUUGAGUUCUCUGAGUAUGGUGUCCGCUAUUAGAGCCACACUCAUCCUCCCACCUCCCCCUGAGAGCUGGGGUUUUAUUCCUAUUUAAGUUCUAAUUAUUAUAAUUAGUCUGAAAAGGAUUUGGGAGUAAGGGGCUAUGAUAUGCCAUAUAGACCCCUCAAGGCAUCUUCUUUGUACUAACUCAUUAUGACCAGUUCUAAACUUUACCAUUUAAUCUAGUCAUUCAGUACCCAAGGUCACAACAGCUGAGACCCCCUGAGCAUCAAUCCAUAGAGACUACCACCUUCAGAGAACUACAAUUAAAAGGUAAAUAAUUCCCCUGCUGCCUUCUCUGUAAGGCAAUGCUGUAAGUCAGAGAACGGAAUCCAACCUCAGCCUAAUUACUACUCCAGUAAUUUAUAGAGUUGCAAUGAAAAAGUUGGCAAACACUUUUUCAUUAAUCAAAACAGAAAUGCUAAGCCAAUGACAGUUCAUUUCAGAUUGGAGUGGCAAGAGUCAGUCUUACAACACUCAAGUUACAAACUUUAUCCGCAUCACCCAAAGUCCAAGGAGUUCUGAAGAGCUAUAUUUCAAGAAAGUCAAAGCAUCAUUACAACAUGCAGACCACGGAAAUAGUAUUCUUCACCAUAUUAAAGACGCAAUCCUUUGUUUAUUCCAUCACAAAACUGCUGCUGAAGCAACACAGUACAAGGUUUAAUUUUUUUGAAUCAGGCUGUGCAUAAAAGGGUUCUAAUCACUUAAAGCUGGUGCUCUUCUGAAUCAAAAUAUGAGCAAGUUCAGGUUCUUGAAAAUAUCAUCACCCAUAUUGAAACAUUCCAAGAAAUUCAACAGAUGCUGGCGUUUUCCUGUAUGACAGCAGCCUCCAGGCCUGAAAACUGUAAAGCUUUGAAAUUCACAGAAAAAGAGCAUAAAAUGGUAUUAAGUGAAAUAAUUUGUUACAGUGCCAGCGGCUGGAUUCCAGUGCAUAGUGUCAGUACAUAGCAAAGGUGGCAGAUUCAAAGACUUCUACUGCUGAAUUUUGGAAAGAUGAAUGAAUUAUAUCUGCAAAUCAGAAAAAUGCAUCUAUAUCUCUACCAGCAGAAUAUAUUGUGCAAUAAUGUAAUACUUCGUAAUUAUACAAUACAUGUCAUUAAUCACAAGUGCAAAACUCAGUGGCUAUAUUGAAUUUUCAGUGAAAAGGCAGCUCUUUGAUUCAGAAUUCAGCAGUGGUAAUAAUGUACACUAAUUUAUAUAUUAAUAAAUCCAAGUUCACGUAAAUAAAAAUAUGUUGCUAAACAGCAUCCUAGAUUCUUUUUUAAUGAGCAAUCACAACAUAGUGCAUGUUAUUAUAAAUAUAUGAUAAUGCAGUGUGUCAAAUUUCCAUAGUUGUUUGGCAGUAUGUGUUAAUGUCACCUGACAAUUCCAAGUCUUUGGCUUCAAGUGAGCGCAUCUGCAGGAGGGCUGCAUUUGUUCUCAUUUUCCACAAGAACUGUAAGUGCCAGUUCUUCAGACUGAAAGCAACCUGCAUCCCUGCCCUGGGAGCACAGGUGUAGCAGCUCCAACACUGUCCCUAGCCAUACCAUAUCCUGAAUGCAAUUAAGCACAAUAGUUAAUCUUUGCUGUGUAGCAGGGUCCGCAAAAUGAAUUCUCUUACUCCCAGUUGACAUUUAGUAUCACACUAGGGGCCAAUAUGAAGAAGUUUGCGCUGUUGUUGCCUGAGCUCUAUGUUUGCAAGUGAUAAAUAGUCCCCAGUUUCUAAUUUUGCUGGGUCAGAAAGAGCCUUCUAAUUUUCCUAAAUUAAAUCAUAGGCUACUAUUAUAUUUGUAGCAAGGUACAUGAAGCAAUAUUUCAGCUGCUUCUGCUUAUUCCGCUUAAGAAAAUAAAAUACGACGUUGAGGGAGAGAAGGUUGAAGGACAAAGGCAAGAGAGUAGGUCAUAUAUUGAUACCUUAAUCUGGACACGUUCUUGUAGUUGUUCAAACAGCUGAGAUCUUAUAGAAGAAUUGUGGCAGGACUAAAGGUUUACACCAGCCAUCAUGCUACUUACAGAUUCUGAAAAUCAGUUUUUACUGGUGGCCAUUCAACUCUAACUACAUUUUCAGAAGCAAACAGACCUCUAGGGGCAUCAUUUAGAAGAGAAAACUCUUUAGUUUCCACCUAUUGACUGAGAAGGUUGUGUGUCAUGGGCAGCUCAGGGUUUUCCAGCAGCACAGAUAAAAGUUAUUUUCCCCUCCUAAAGCCUGAGGAAAAAAAUAACAUAUUUUGUAUUUACCACUUGCAGUAGCAAAACUUUAUGCACAAGUAGGGCAGCCUAAGAGGACUCCAGAUUGUUGUCUUCUUCCAAUCUCAACUCCCCAGAAUUUGGAGUCCUUGAUUUUCCCAAGACAUACAGUUUUGCUCAGCCUGACCUGGCCUAUCCCUGUACUCCCCACUCCAAAAAGCACCGAAAUCUCAAGCCAGAGGGAGCUCAGGAAAGUGAAGACUCCCUUUCGUCACACAACACAGCUCUGGUGGGAAGCCAGACUCAACACAGGCUGUCUAGUCCCAGCUCCCCCAGGCACCCUGCCUGUGCCCAGCCUCUGGGCCAAACACACUGCACUUCACUGACUGAAAGCAAAAGGUUAUUUCCCUCCAGAAUAAAGUUGUGUGUUGCCCAGUAGACACACACGAUUCAAGCAGGCUAUAAUUAUAAAUUAAAAGGAAAAAUUAAGGUGCCAAGUCUUUGAUUUGUAUUCCUGGCAGCAAACUGUCAAUAACAUGGCUAGCUGCAUUUUUGUGUUUUCCCAAAUGUGGCUUUUACAGAAGGUUUUAUUUUAAAUCAGAAUACAAACACAGAGAAAAACACUCCUACUGAAGCUUGUUUAUGGUGUGUUUUCCUAGGCUUUAUCCUUUCUCGUAUGUAAAGGUCACCUCAGCCAAAACUGCACAGAUUCACUCCCUGGUCCUUUUGUAAAGUGCUAAGAAGAAUCUAUACUAUGGAAUAUUGUAAUGCUAAUGCCUUCUUCUAACAAUAUUGUUAAAUGAGCUCUUAAAGACAAAUACACUAUUCAGUCUCCAGGGUCUGAUAUCUAGAAUAUGUUAUAACCAUAAAAAGCCACAAGUCUCCCCCAUAAAGCUGCUCUCAGCACACUGCAUCCAACAGCUCUGAAGGCGUCUAUUGCUAUUGGUACCCACAUCCCAGUAGAAGAACUUUCCUUUGAGCCACUCUGUUGCAUCAAGGCUAUUAGAUGACCUGAAGUCCUUGGAAGACCCAGAUUAGUGAAUCUAGACUUUUGCACACGUAUUUUAUUCCUGAUGCUCCAUGUUCUGAGAGAGAGUUGCAGGAGAAUUAUUUUUCUGCUGUGUCAAAAGAUGUAUUGGUAUAAAUCAAUGGAUUUCUGUAAACAAUCACAUUUGUUGCUCUCUACAAAUAGCUACUGAAUCUGAACACCAGUAAGAUGCCUGCCUUCUCCUUGCAGCCUUUAAUAGCUAUCCUCUCCCAGAACCAUGCAUCACUGAUUGUGCAACUCCGAACUCAGGGCUACAGAACAGUAUAUUCAGGGAGCAAAGUGCUGGCUGCAGAUUUUGGCUGCCCAUAUCUUUUACAUAGGAUCUUAUUAUCUCUUCCCCUUGUUACUUACAUUAAUAUCUACUACAGCACUUGAUGAUGACACAGAAGUACAUUAAAGCUCUGUAACAAGGAACACAUGCAGAGAAAAGCAUGACUGAACGGAGGUGAAAAGUUGCAAGUUCUGCUUUCUGAAGGGAGGAACACAAUCACACAGUUUUUCCGUAUUGAAAGUUUAGAAAUUUUUUCUCCUCUAGUCAUGGGGAGCUCAGCUCUGACAUAAAAAAUGCCUCUGCUGUACCUUUGGUCCCAAUCAUAUUUGUAACAGGUCUUCAAUGUACAACAGGUCUUCAAUUCAAUCUUUCAUUUGUAGUAUGCUGUCAACACGAACAGAUUAAAUAUAAAUCAUCCUAAACAUAUACAUCAUGGCUCAAUUGUGCAAUUUUUAAAACCUCUCUGAAAACGGGGCCCUAAAAAUACUGAAAAUGAAAUCUUGAUCAUAGUCAACAGCCAUGGGCUAUUUUCUAAACAGCAAGAAAGCAAAUUUGUUACGUGCCACAUGGCAGCGAAGAUAUUCAUCCACCAAGAUGCUGUUUUCCACUGAUUCAGCUGCAGAUAAGCAACUAAUACAUUUAUCUGGUUGUAUAAACAUGAAGUGAGAAAUUUGUUUCCAAAAAAGAUGCAAAGCAGAAAAAGCAAUAUUAAUGCUUCUUGAAAAAAGGUUUAUAAUCCAGUAAACGCACUGAAUGUAGAACAGAAAUGCAGCCUUUUAAAUAAUUUCCUUGUUCAAAACGCUUGUCUAUAGUAAGCAGUUUUACAGUUGUGAUCUGUUUAAUGCAUCUCAUCAUCUGACCACAACUACAGCUGCAGCUGAAGCAGGCUAGCUUUAUCCUGCUACAGGAGCCACUGCCCCAUUAAUGCUUUCUUUCUCAUCGCCAGGGUAUCACUCCGUGGCAUAGUGCAGUUAAAAACAGUCAGUUUUUUCCAUGUUCUGUGCCUGUAUGUAUCAUCCUACCAGCUACCUAAGAUGCACCAUUAGUAGACACUUUCAUAUGGAAUUUAUCUGAAGUAAUAAAUAUAGGGAAAUGAUGUUACCCUCAAUUAGCAGUCUGUCUCUUCUCACUCUCAUGAAACCUGGCUGACACGAAGUUGAAGACUGUAAUCAGGUGUGUUACAGACAAGCUGGACAGUAAAAUUGCUAAGACAUGGAGAACCUCCAACGACAGCAAGCCAAACCAGUUAUGCUGUGAAAAAAAGUAGGUACUUCUAGCAGUUUGUCUAGAUGUUGAGAAGAUAGAUACAGGAAGAAAAGGACUAUGAAUUUUUCAUAUACAGAAAAUCAAAUGGAAGAGAAGAUCUAACUAGUCAUAACAUUUGGGACUAUCUUAAUCAUAGGCAUGGCACUAGUUAGAGCUUCAAGUAACUCAAAAUUAGACAAAUUUUUAUUUUUCUCACAAAAGCACACGACUGUCCCAUCUAGUAGCAAAAUGCUAAUUGUCUAACUUAUGACGCUUUUCUCAACAGUCACUUUGGAAGGUACCAUCCAUUGAAGUGGAAUAACAGGCCAACCUAUUACAUCUGGUCUCAGAGAGGUUCUAAUGAAAUUCAGCAGAGCCGCUCUAGUGAGCCCUGCCCAACAUUUUCAGCUUCCUGCACCACUCAACCAAAAGAGAAGUUUCAGAUAGGGGAAAUUAAAGUACUCAUGUCACUUUUUACGAAGAUUGAGUUAUGUACCAGAUUAAGAUAGGUGUCUUGCUUUCAGCUGGGACAGAAUUGUUUUCUUCAGAAAUCCAUUGAUUCAUUUUCCUAACUACAGCAAUUAGACUUAAUCUGAAGAACAUCUCCCCUCUGCUUUAUUGACAGUUCUUUAAAUCUAAAUGAUAUUUUUAGAAAUGCUUCCUAAACAGUGAAACAUUUGUUUUUCUUCUGUCUUUCAUUUUAAUAUAAUUAAGAGAGAAUGUCAAUGGAACAGAACCUUGCCAGGAGAUAAUGAUCUCAUGCUGACAGACAAAUAGUAAGGUGAAAAAAGCAUAGUGAAAGUAUAUUUUCUUUAGUUCAGCGAUUUAAUUUGCUAUUAUGCCAACUGAUUAGCAUCUUAAGUACUAUUGUACUUUAUCAGACUGACAGACUGGUGAAGAAGUGACAAAGCUGGUACCAUAAGCCACCACAGCACCGAUGUGACAAUUACCAAAUUUAUACAUGUCCUGGCCCUAUUUCCCUGCUCCAGGCAGAACAAGUGACUGAGCUUUGUGUGCACUGACAGCCUUUUACAGGACAUAUACAGAUACUGAAGGGUAGAUCUGUUCUGACUGAAUACAUCAUUUUCUUACUAGUUUUCAUGUAAUUUUAGCCCUG
ensembl:lncRNA